rnacentral:rRNA from 1 species
CGCUGGCGGUGUGCUUCACACAUGCAAGUCGAACGAGGUAGCAAUACCUAGUGGCGGACGGGUGAGUAACGCGUGGGAAUCUGCCUUUAGAUGGGGGAUAACGGGUCGAAAGACUCGCUAAUACCGCAUAUGACGAAAGUUGAAAGGAGUAAUCCGUCUAAAGAUGAGCCCGCGUCCGAUUAGCUAGUUGGUAGAGUAAAAGCCUACCAAGGCGACGAUCGGUAGCUGGUCUGAGAGGAUGAUCAGCCACAAUGGGACUGAGACACGGCCCAUACUCCUACGGGAGGCAGCAGUGGGGAAUUUUACGCAAUGGGCGAAAGCCUGACGUAGCGACACCGCGUGAGCGAAGAAGCCCCUUGGGGUGUAAAGCUCUGUCAGCUGGAACGAAAAAAAUGACGGUACCAGCAGAGGAAGCAUCGGCUAACUACGUG